GGGGUUGUUUAGACUCGACAGGGUGCACUUUCAAAAUAUGCAAGCCGACCUCGAUGGCAUGGUCGCAAAUCUCGCCAUCACGAUGAUAAAUGCAAACUUCAUCACAAAGGCAAAGAACGCAUUUGCGCAAGCAUUUGCACCAUCUUUCGCUUCUGUUCUCGCCUAAGUAAUUAGGACGGGGGCCAUCGGACUUCUUAUUCUCGAUAGGAAUGCGCUGGUGUCAUAUUAUCGAGACGGCCGAAGAAUUUCUGUUUCUUUCUUCUUCUCAGCUGUAUUGCGAAAGCUACAAAUGAACGAGGAUUUUGUCCGCUUUUUACCCCUUUCAUUACAACAAAGCGUUCUAAGCUUGUAGAAUAUUUUGGAAAAACGCUUCUGGACAUGGGUGCAAUUCCCAUCAACUCCACCU
rnacentral:tmRNA from 1 species